UGGGGAAUUUUGCACAAUGGGGGAAACCCUGAUGCAGCGACGCCGCGUGAUUUAGAAGGCCUUCGGGUUGUAAAAAUCUUUUUUACGGGAUGAAAAUGACAGUACCGUAAGAAUAAGGUCCGGCUAAAUACGUGCCAGCAGCCGCGGUAAUACGUAUGGACCGAGCGUUGUCCGGAAUCAUUGGGCGUAAAGGGUACGUAGGCGGCCUAAUAAGUUAGAAGUGAAAGAAUAUAGCUCAACUAUAUAAAGCUUUUAAAACUGUUAGGCUUGAGAGAUGAAAGGGAAAGUAGAAUUCCUAGUGUAGCGGUGAAAUGCGCAGAUAUUAGGAAGAAUACCGGUGGCGAAGGCGACUUUCUGGUCAUCAUCUGACGCUGAGGUACGAAAGCGUGGGUAGCAAACAGG
rnacentral:rRNA from 1 species